CCGCGCCGCGCCCGCGCCCAGCGGUCCCUCCCUCCGGCGUGACGGGAGCACGGGCGCCGGCCGCCCGGGCCGCGAGCGCAGCAGAGCUGACAGCGGGCAGCCGGGCAGGGGGCGAGCGAGUGGCGAGCCGAGCGCGCAGCACUCGCGGUCCGGGAGCCGGAGCGCGCCCCACUCGGGGAGGCUGCCUUCUUGCCGGCCGGCGGGCCGACCACAGCGGGACGGAGAUGCUGCUCCUCCGCCCAGGGCCGACGCGGGGGAGGGGCCGGGGGCGGCCAGCCGGGGCUCUCCGCUGCGGACUCUCGCCUCCCUGGAGCCCCGCCUGGAUCUGCUGUUGGGCGCUCGCCGGCUGUCAAGCGGCCUGGGCUGGGGACCUGCCCUCCUCCUCCGGCCGCCCGCUUCCUCCUUGCCUGGAGGAAGAUUACCACUUUGAAUAUACAGAAUGUGAUAGCAGUGGCUCCAGAUGGAGAGUUGCCAUUCCGAAUUCUGCAGUGGACUGCUCUGGCCUGCCUGACCCAGUGAGAGGCAAAGAAUGCACUUUCUCCUGUGCUUCUGGGGAGUAUCUAGAAAUGAAGAAUCAGGUAUGCAGUAAGUGUGGUGAAGGCACCUACUCCUUGGGCAGUGGCAUCAAAUUUGAUGAAUGGGAUGAAUUGCCGGCAGGAUUUUCCAACGUUGCAACAUUCAUGGACACUGUGGUCGGCCCUUCUGACAGCAGGCCAGAUGGCUGUAACAACUCUUCCUGGGUCCCUCGUGGAAAUUACAUAGAGUCCAAUCGUGAUGACUGCACGGUAUCCUUGAUCUACGCUGUGCACCUUAAGAAGUCGGGCUAUGUUUUCUUUGAGUACCAGUAUGUGGACAACAACAUCUUCUUUGAGUUCUUUAUUCAAAAUGAUCAGUGCCAGGAGAUGGACACCACUGCUGACAAGUGGGUAAAACUCACCGACAGUGGAGUAUGGGGCUCUCAUUCUGUAAUGUUGAAAUCAGGCACAAACAUACUGUACUGGAGAACUACAGGCAUCCUUAUGGGUUCCAAGGCCGUCAAGCCAGUGUUGGUAAAAAAUAUCACAAUUGAAGGGGUGGCAUACACAUCGGAAUGCUUUCCAUGCAAGCCUGGCACCUUCAGCGACGAACCAGGUUCAUUCAUCUGCCAAGUUUGUCCCAGAAACACCUAUUCUGAGAAAGGAGCCAAAGAAUGCAUCAAGUGUGACGUGGACUCCCAGUUUUCAGAAGAAGGAUCCAGCAAGUGUACGGAGCGUCCUCCCUGUACCACAAAAGACUAUUUCCAGAUCCACACUCCAUGUGAUGAGGAAGGAAAGACGCAGGUAAUGUACAAGUGGAUAGAGCCCAAAAUCUGCCGGGAGGAUCUCACAGAUGCUAUUAGGUUGCCCCCUUCUGGAGAGAAGAAGGAUUGUCCACCUUGCAACCCUGGAUUUUAUAACAAUGGAUCUUCUUCUUGCCAUCCCUGCCCUCCUGGAACGUUUUCGGAUGGAACAAAGGAAUGUAGACCAUGUCCAGCAGGAACAGAGCCUGCCCUUGGGUUUGAAUAUAAAUGGUGGAAUGUCCUUCCUGGCAACAUGAAAACCUCCUGCUUCAAUGUUGGGAAUUCAAAGUGUGACGGAAUGAAUGGUUGGGAGGUGGCUGGAGAUCAUAUCCAGAGUGGGGCUGGAGGUUCCGAUAAUGAUUACCUGAUCUUAAACUUGCAUAUCCCAGGAUUUAAACCACCGACAUCAAUGACGGGAGCCAUGGGCUCUGAACUGGGAAGAAUAACCUUUGUGUUUGAGACCCUCUGUUCAGCCGACUGUAUUCUGUACUUCAUGGUGGAUAUUAAUAGAAAAAGUACCAACGUGGUCGAAUCAUGGGGUGGAACCAAAGAAAAACAAGCUUACACCCAUGUCAUCUUCAAGAAUGCCACAUUUACAUUUACAUGGGCAUUUCAGAGGACCAAUCAGGGUCAAGAUAAUAGACGGUUCAUCAAUGACAUGGUGAAGAUUUAUUCUAUCACUGCCGCUAAUGCAGUUGAUGGGGUGGCGUCCUCGUGCCGUGCCUGUGCCCUCGGUUCUGAACAGUUGGGCUCAUCGUGUGUCCCCUGCCCCCCAGGCCACUACAUUGAGAAAGAAACCAACCAGUGCAAGGAGUGUCCACCUGACACCUACCUGUCCAUACAUCAGGUCUAUGGCAAGGAGGCUUGUAUUCUAUGUGGGCCUGGGAGUAGAAGCACUCAGGACCACUCAGUUUGCUACAGUGACUGCUUUUUCUACUAUGAAAAAGAAAAUCAGAGUUUGCACUAUGACUUCAGCAACCUCAGCAGUGUGGGCUCCUUAAUGAAUGGUCCCAGCUUUACCUCCAAAGGAACAAAAUACUUCCAUUUCUUCAAUAUCAGUCUAUGUGGGCAUGAGGGGAAGAAGUUGGCUGUCUGCACCAACAAUAUAACCGACUUCACAGUAAAGGAAGUGGUGGCAGGGCCAGAUGAUUAUACGAACCUGGUAGGAGCAUUUGUAUGUCAGUCAACUAUUAUUCCUUCUGAAAGUAAGGGCUUCCGAGCAGCCUUAUCAUCACAGUCCAUCAUUCUGGCAGAUGUAUUUUUAGGAGUGACUGUUGAAACCACAUUGCAAAAUAUUAAUAUAAAAGAAGAUAUGUUCCCAGUUUCACCAAGCCAAACGCCAGAUGUGCAUUUCUUUUAUAAGUCUUCUACAACUACAACCUCUUGUGUUAAAGGCCGAUCAACUGCUGUGAAAAUGAGGUGUAAUCCUGCUAAACCGGGAGCUGGAACCAUUUCAGUACCCAGCAAGUGUCCAGCAGGUACCUGUGAUGGAUGCACAUUCUAUUUCCUGUGGGAGAGUGCUGAAGCUUGCCCUCUGUGCACAGAGCAUGACUUCCAUGAGAUUGAGGGUGCCUGUAAGAGGGGAUUUCAGGAAACCUUAUACGUGUGGAAUGAACCUAAGUGGUGCAUUAAAGGAAUUUCUUUGCCUGAGAAAAAGUUGUCAACCUGCGAAACAGUUGACUUUUGGCUAAAAGUGGGAGCAGGUGUGGGAGCUUUUACAGCUGUUUUGCUGGUGGCUCUAACUUGCUACUUCUGGAAAAAGAAUCAGAAACUGGAGUACAAGUAUUCCAAAUUAGUAAUGACCACAAACUCAAAGGAGUGUGAACUCCCAGCUGCAGACAGCUGUGCUAUCAUGGAAGGAGAAGAUAAUGAAGAGGAAGUUGUAUAUUCCAAUAAACAGUCGCUACUGGGAAAACUCAAAUCCUUGGCAACAAAGGACAAAGAAGACCAUUUUGAAUCUGUUCAACUGAAAUCCUCAAGAUCUCCCAAUAUAUGAAAGACAGUGCUGUAGCCUUCAGACUAAUGAACAAAGAAACCUGCUCUCUAGUUUUACAGGACCAUAGUUUAGAGCCUGUCCUCAUAUCCGGCACAUUGGUGAUGUCACAGAGGAGGGCCAUGCCGCUGAAAAGGGAAGGAGGUUGAAAUGUUAGAUUGCCUUAUAACAUGGUCAAGUGUCUUGCCAAAAAUAAGAAAGCAAAUGUUUUGAGUCUCAACUGAAGAUGAAGCUCAACUCAGGAAGAGAUUUAUCUGUAUAUACAAAUAACUCAAAACCAAGGCUAAGCCCACGAGUGCACUGCUGAUGCAUGCCAUAUAAUUAAUGGGGUAUCCUUGUUGAUUUCAGAAGCCUAAGUAAGCAGUAAUUCUUAAUGAAGAGUCAGCAUGUGCUUGGGUUAUCUAACUUAUAAUCGCCUUUGAAAUCCCAUCCUUGUUGGAACUGGUAAGAAGGGCUUGACUGAAAGUGGGAUUCUUAAAAAAAAAAAAAAAAAAAAAGGAUAAGGAGAAGCCUUGACUUUCCACUGGUACAAACAAGCUGACACCAUUAUAAAAGUCAAAUGGCUUGAAAGAAUUUAUGUAAUACUUGAAGUAUAAUUUAGAAUGAGUAGGAAAGCUUGUUUAUCAGAUCACUUGCAAAAUCAUGAGAAGAAAGUGGGCUGGCUUGUCUAUAAGUACAGACAGCUGUACAAAGGUAUUGGGAUAAUUUCAUGGUCUCCAGAAAACGACAGUGGGACAUUUACCCUAUGUCAAGCAUCAAAGGUUAUAUGUUUAUUUUCCUGCCAAAGACUUUAAGGAUUAUGACUUCCAUGAAGGUUUUCUUUUUAAGUUAGCAGGGCAGGGAUUGAAUUUUAGAAAAUCGCAUAUAACUGUAUUCAGAAUAAGAAUGUGGUUGUGUCCCAUAAGCAGUUAUGAAAUAAGUGUUGCUGCUCUUAUUCAAAAAUGAUCCAGGUAAUUGUGAUAUUUCCUAUGAUGGACGGGUUAUAUUGGUAUUAGUGCGACUUAAAUACUGUUGGUUGAAAGAAGUUUGAAUGAAGCUGGAUUUGACCAAUUUUGUGUAAAAAUUGUUUUAGAAGUGGGAAAGAGAGGAGUUUCCUGACCAUUUAUAAUCUAAGGUGCUCUGGUUUGUUUCCAAUAAACAGUGAUCUUUAUAGGUUUUAAUCCAUAUUUUUUGAAAGCCUGGUCAUUGGCCGAGAGAGGCAGGGCAUAGGGGCAGGGUUUGUUGAAUGUUUUGCCCCAAGUCUGUCAAUGAGGUAUGACUUGUAACUUUUGAUUCAGCAGGUCGUCCUUAGUUUUGUGGCAAAUGAGAUAAAAAUAAAUAAUUGAAUUUAUUUGACUGGUGGGUAAAACACUGGACCAUUCUGUUAUUGUUGAGUGAAUGUUUGUUUUGUGUACAUCACUACUGUUGGAUUCGUGAGUAUAGGUGAGGUUGCCGUUGUUUUAUUGUUUGUUGUGAAAUUCACGGAGGGCAUUGCUUUACAUAAACGUCUUCCACGUUUAAUUUCUUAAAUUCUAUUAUAACGAAGAAAUUAUUUUGGCAUUGCUCAUUUUUAUCCUGCCAACAGUGCUGAUGACCCUUUCCCCACCUUGAUCAAAAUUUAAACAGAAGAAAGAAAAUACACUUGAAGUGCACCCUUUUAGAGGAACCCUGGCAAAGUCAUACAGACUGGACAGAGUCAGGAAGUUUCCGCAUAGUCAUCUGUCACCUCUCUCUUCAUCUUUGCUGUGCUCAACGUGUACGUUCCAAGCCAUAGAGAUAAUUGGGAUUUGCUCCCAGGUAGCUUCUUUAUUCUCCUGUCACUGGACUAAAAUCUCUGACGUGUCAAAAAUGCCUUAAAUUUUAAUGAACUCUCUGAAAAU